GUUAUUUGAUAAUCCACGUUUUUCCCUCCUAUACCUCUUGUUUACUCAAACUUGAUCAUCCUACCUAUUCUUCCGUUAACUUGUCAUGAAACAUGAUUAAAACAUGCCAUUUAGUUGGCUUACUGUUCGUCAGCCGGUGAGCGUUCUAUUCCGACCUCCGGGGCUGGAUGACAAUUGCUGGAACGCAGCCGACGUCGAUUUGAGCUAACGCACAAACCGCGUCAUCUCAAAUACGAGUCUUAUUCUAAGCCGGAAAAAAGGCACUUCCGACUAAAAAUGAAUUGGCUACUGAGCAUUGCCAUCCACCCCCUCAGUUCGGGAAGCCGCUUGAAUGGCAGAUGAACGGCCACUUAACUUGGUACAAUUGGUCGUUGACUAUUUUGAUAAUGGAAUUUUAAACGAGACUUUAAGGUUACAUUAACCACUUUGUCGAGACGUUCGAUUAUUACUAUAGUGAUUUCGAAAUAGUGAGCUAUCAAAAUGUUACCUUCUACCUGACAGUUGCUCGACAAAAUUACUGUUUAUAAAGAAAAAUGAUGAGUCCAAUAAAAGUUGGGUACAUCUCCGUCUGCCAUUCGAAUACUGUCCCGACUGGAAGGCGUUUCUGACAAUGCCCAGUGGUGAAAUUUCACUUAGCAAGCGUCCUUUGCUUGGUUAGUGAAAGGCCAGUAUUUAAGACGUGUUUUUUCGGCUCAAAUCUGUGCCCACCACGUUCCGGCAAUUGGCAGAAAUGCCUGGAGGUCGGCGUAGGACGAACGAACUAAGCAGGUUUACGCUAACCCGAACUGUUUCCAGUGGGUCUAAGCUGGCUGCUUUUGAAUUUAAAAAAUGGCAUGUUUUAAUCAUAAUCA
rnacentral:misc_RNA from 1 species